CCACAGCUGCUGUGCUGUUGUUUUUUUAGGUUUUGAUUUUUGUGAAAUGUCGAUGAGAAAAUCAAAACCUAAAGAAAAUACUGCGCAGAUAGAUGG